UUUACGCACAACACACUAUAAAGAACAUCUGGUGGAAUUGAUACAAAUCUAUAGCUCCUCCUAACUAAGAAGCGUUAUUAGCCCUUAAGCAAAGGGGAACGAGUGUGGUUCUCUCUGGAUCUUUUCCUCGUGUUGCAGAUUAUUCUCUUCCAAGCCAAAUACCUCCUUCCUCAUUAUUAUUAUUUUUCCUCAGCACUGAUAAUUCUUAGUUUUUUGCUUAUGUACUUGCUCCAAGUGCACUCUUGAAGUCCUGAGUUUUCUUCGGUAGAUUCCUUCAGAAGCUUUCCUUUCCUCUGUGAUGUUCUGUGAGGUGAUGGCUCCCCUGAGGCCACAACUCGGCCUUUGUCCCAUCAGGUGAGUCCGUGUCCUCUAGAGCAGCUUCCUUCUCUCUGGUGAUAACAGCGUCCUCCACUGUGUAAUGGCAGAUGUCAUGCUUGAAACUGAGCAGGACCCUGGGGGGCCUUCCUAGGUACAGAAGCUCCUCUGUGACCCCUGUUUCUUGUUUGUAGGAAAAAAAGCUUUAGUCUCCUAGGCCUUCCGAGUUCCAAAGAGCAGACUCAAGCAGUUACUAGUUAGGGAAGUGAGGAGAUGCAGAAACAAAGGAAAAGCAGUUAAGCAAGAAAAGUAAUAAUAGCUUAGAUUACAGUUCAGUGAUAAAGCAGAGACCUAGUUCCUCCUCAAGGGGCAUACGUGAUAAUCUGGUGCAUAUCUUUGAGCUGUCCUGCAGAAACCAAGAUUCUCCCCCCCACCCCACCCCCUUGGAGGGCCGUGACUACAUGCUGGCCACAAGCACUUAGACCCCAGACGAGUUGGAACCAGAAGAGAAAGGAUUAAGUUUCCUGAAACAUCACCCUGUUACCUCACCACCAACCAAUCAGAAGAAAGUCCAUGAGCUGCAACCCUCAUCCCAAAUGUUGCGUUUAAAAACCUUUCCCUGAAAGACAUCAGGGAGUUCUGAGCUGCCUGUUCUCCUUGCUUGGGGCCCUGCAAUAAAUGCUAUAAUUUCCUACACUGCGACCUUGUGUCAGUGGAUUGGCGUUGCUGUGCGGUGGGUGAGCAGACCCAAGCUCAGUUUGCUAACACACUUAUCCCCAGUCUGGUUGGAAAAAGUCACUUUCUGCUUGGAAUCUGAGUGGAAUAAUCUUCCACAUUCCCUUAUAACACACCAGACUUCUUAUGCACUAAUGUGAAAUCUGAGUUUCCUGGGGUGUUAUUUUUUAAUCAGUUAACUCCCAGUUUCGUGUGCGCUAGAUUAUGAUUAGGUUAAGAAUUCCCAGUUUUUCUUAGCUUGAGUAGAAAGAGAAUAUUUAGUUUCCAAGAGCCACUUAGAUAAGAAAAAGUUGAAAACACCGUGAAGGUAAGUGGAAUUGCUGGAGACUGGAGGACUUCCUGUGUUCACUGACUAUCGACACUCAUUGCUUCUGCUUCCUGUGGAGAGCCGGCAUUUGGACCUUGCCUGUGGUCUGUUUAUUGCGCACGUUAAAGAGGCGUCUCUGAGGGCCAGAUGGGUGAGUGAAAGUAAGCUCCUCAAUUUCCCAUCUCCACUGAUAAAUCCGACUUUGUCAUAAUGACAGAGCAUCCAAAGCAAACGACUGCAAUGCGUGGACACUUCGCUUCAUCCUGGUUGUGUGCAAAGACCUCUUAAACCCGCACAGAGGUGGAUUUUCAGUUGCCCCUAACCACCAACCAAAUGGAUGACACUAGCAGAACUUUCCAAAGUUUCUGCCUGAAAACACUCUAGCAAGAGGAUCUGAAGCAGAUGAAAUAGAUGGUCAUUUGAUUCACAUGAAUCAUAAGCUGCGGAAUUUGAUCUAGUUCUAGUACAUUAAAAUCGUAAUAGUUUUGUCUUCACUGGCUUUUAGUCGAGACUGUAAAAAAGUCAGCAAUUACUGAAUUAUUGAAUCGCAAAGGUAGGCAACGGGCAGGGCUUUUCUCAGCAGCACACUGACUACGGAAAUUAAGUGACCAGGAGGCUUGAGGACCCCUGGGACUAAAACUCUCAUUCCUUAUACAUUGGACACGUCCCUUCUUAGACAGGAUGUCGGUUUGCGGGAGGUGAUCCGUGUAUAAGUGUGAGUUAAUAGUAGGCCCUUUAAUUCUAUUCCCCACAUUCCUCAUUAAUCCCACGCUAUUGGAUCACUGCUUUAUUUUGUUCCUUUAUAAAUUUAUAUCACAAAACCUCGAUUUAUGGUAUUACCAUUGAUAAGUUUUUUCAAUAUACACAGUCCAUUUAUUUUCACGCCCACUUAGGACCAGUGAAAUUUAUGUAGCAACAUAUUAUUAAUUGCCUUCCAACUUCUGUCCAUCAGAAAUAUUUAACAAAUGUCCCCACCCAUUACUAUAAUACUAUUCCUGAAGCAAAGUGCUUUCAGAGAUGCAUCUAAUUGACGCAUUGUCUGUUUUUGGAGAUGUACAGAUUUCUAGAAAGCAGCCCACUGACGGGUCUCUACGUGAUGGGGGGCGAGUGUUGUUACUCACUGAGAUGCCUCCUGAGAUGAUGGCCUGGCUCACUUUGAAGCAGAAAAUAGAAUAAAAUGAGGUUUAUGUGCUGUUGGCGUCAGAAAAGCCCAUUACGAUGAUUUUGCUUAACGCUUGUCAUCUAGUUUGUAGUUGUCUGUAAUACAAUGCCUGUCCUGAUGCAGAUUUUUUGUUUUAGGGAGUGGGUAUCCACAUCCACAAAUGCAGGGGCUGCUGGACAGUAGGAAGGGUACAUGGAGGAUGGCUGUGGAUGGUGCGGGAAACUGGGCAAAGUCAAGGGCAGUAAUUAAGCUCCUCCCUCUGACUUGCUGCUUUUCUUCCUCUUCUAUUGCUGUAAAUUAAACAUGGUUGCUAACGUCUGACAUUUCUCCCUCGACAGCGAGGGGGACACGAUACAAGUCUGUCAUUUGUUUAUUCAGCAGGUGCUUAUUGAUUUCUUCCUGUGUGUCAGUUACUGUGCUGGUGCAAAGAAGACUCAAUCCUGCCCAGCACACACCUAAUUAUAAUUCAGAGCAUCUUCUAAAAGCCAUAUGAGUGGCGUAAAUUAUAUGUUCAAAAAAGAAAAAAAGAGUAUGCUGAGGUGAACAGGGCGUAUUCAUGGAGAAGGUGUCAUAGGACUUAAAAGUUGGAGAAGCAGGAGAUAACGGGUCCAUCGUGCAAGUUAAUUAUGGAGCACUUGAGUAGCAGGCACUGGACUAGAUCCCGGGAAGGUUGGAGGAUCAGUGAUGCACAACCACAUCCCUCAACUAGAGGCAGCAACGAGGCCCAGAAGAGUUUUGAACACGAGCUUGAUGUCUUCUGGAGAUUAGCUCCACGUGAGCUCAAGUCCUCAGCCUCAAUUCAUGUGUCCUUCAAAACGAGACGAUCGGCCUCAAGCCCCGCUCCUCUCACGUCAGGUCGGAAGGCCUUCCCGGGAUGCUUUGCGGUGCUUGCACAUUCAGGGGGAGUGUCUUCCAUGGGCCAGAGCAGCCUCCCCUCACCCAGCCUGCUGACCUUGAGUGCCAUCCAGAGUAAUGUGUAUUCAUCCCACUGUCCAUAAUCUGUUUCCACAUACCAUGUGCUUGGGGCGUCAUAAAACUUUGGCGCAGAGAAAGUCGAAAACAAAGGAGAAGUCUUUAAUUCUUAUUAUUUUCAUAUGCCACUUCACUAGAUUUCUCUCUCUCUUUUGUUUCUGUACUUACUGUUUCUAGGUUAACACAGCUUUCAUGCCCCUGUACCAGAGAUGGGAAUUGUUAUCUCUCAUUUCCCCGUCUCAUUAUUUUGACUCAGGAGGUAGAACGUGCAUCAGCCAUUGAUGGCACGUUUCAUCUCCCCCACUGACCGUCUGCAGUCCUCUCCUCACUCUGAGGUAGGCUCAUCGCUUGCCUUUGCCUUUUGGUGUUAUUGUACAUCCUUCCUUCCUAAGUGUCUGCUUUCUAGGAUGCUACAAGGAAGUUGUGUAAGGCAUGUUGGGGGGAUUUGUUAAUUAGUCUGCAUUCUAACCUGGAUGUUCCAUAUCGCGGCAGGAGUGGCGCUGUGCCGUUCUGGACGCAGCCCUUUGAAGGUAUAGAAACUCCUGCUUCUGUGCUUCAGGAAUGCUGUAAGGAAGCUCAGGCUAUCCUGCUGGAGAGAGGCCACUUGAAGAGGCCGUGGAGGGACAGACACCGUGUGGAGGAGGCCCCAGACUUCUUGGACCUUCCGGUCCAUGACCAAUGCCAGGCUGCAUCACACGGAACAGAAGAAACACAGGCCACCUGCAGAAUCUAGAUCAGUCACCAUUAAUCGUUUUAAGAUGCUGAGUUUUGGGGAGGUUUGUUACUCAGCAAUUGAUAACUGAAACACUCAAUUAGUCUGCAUGUUCUUCAUUAAGAGACUAUGAAAUGAGCCUCUGUGUGAGGUGUGGUUGGCUUCCUCUGACAGCCCCUCCCUGUGUGUGCCCCGCCCAACCAGGACUAACCCCAUCCCGUGGGUGGAGACUGGGAGAGAACGUCCUGUUCAGAUGGUGGGCAGUCCUUGGAACUAAGAACCUGAUACAAGAUCACGUGUUAACCCAAAUGAGGGUCCAUAAGGAUGGAAUUUUUAGGCCACAGGAAAAAAUAUUUUGAGACAAAAGGCUACUUUUAUUCUCCUAAAUGAACACCAAACUCUUGGUGGCUCAUACAGUAGAGCUAGCACAGUUUAUGGACAGACUGACCCGGGCCCGUGGGAGUUUCAUCAGCUCUGAGUCUCUUGAACACAGCAGUGAUCCCAGAGGAUUUUAUGUUCAAGGACAGAAAACAGGAAAUCUCACAUAACUGUGGCUGAAAGAAGAUAGAAGCUGACCUAACUUCUCCCUCUGCAUAAAAGAUGUCCACAGACAGCACUUGAAGGCUGGCAGGGUAACCAUUGCUAUCAAUGAGCAGGGUCCAGACUUUCCGAUGCAGGUCCUAAUGUGUGUUUUCCACGUUCCUGGUCAACUCAUGGUCCAGGAUGGCAGCUGCAGCUCCAGCCUGGAAAAGGAAUAAGAUGAGAAGAUUGAAAAGGGGCUCUCCCAGCAGCUUAACUAUUUUAAGCAGCCCUCCAGAAGUCCUAUCUAGCUCUGGUGCUUACACAUCUUGAUCAGAACAUGACUGCUUGGUUACACCUGGCUGCAAGGUGGGCUGGGACUUGAACGCUGCUAUGAAGAUGGUCGUGUCUACACGUAACAGGCACCACAAAGCGCUGGAAUGGAGCUGUGGGUAGGAGGAUGGCUCUGUGCUCAGAAUCUGCUGCCACCCGCCAAGCAAACAGGGGCCAAGUUCUCAGCCCUGCAAAACUUCAGUGAUCCAUUUGAAAAAUGAGAGAGUGAUGAAAGCCUCUUCGUAGAUUUAUGAAGACGCUCAAGUAAGAUAAACCAUCUCAGGCACUGAGCAGAAGGUCUGUCACCUGGGGACCUCUUCAUAAACAUCAGCUACUCUUUUUGUUCCAGAGCAUAGUGAGAUGUACAGUCUGUCCCCUGGAAACACACAUUUAGCGAUCAGCCAAAGAAGUCAAAAAGCUUGACAGGAGCUAACUUGGGCCCGUGACUUAGGAAAACGCACAGUGUGUUGGGAGCUCUCAGGAGAGAGAUCGUGUCUGGUCCUGGGACUAAGCAGUCUUCGUGGUGAAAGCGGUAUUUAGAAGGUCUCGGCAGGUGCUCACCAGGUCCAUGUACUGAUCUCCUUGGAACCUGAAAGUAGCGUGAGCCACAGUACAGAGGCUGUGCUUUAUUCCCACCCUGCCCCCCUGCAAAAGAAAGAGGCAAAGAUGCACUGACUUGAGAAAACUCAAGGCUCAGAGUAGUAAGCCUAAGGCUCUAGAGCCCAGCUCUUGUGGCCUGUGUCCUGGGAAGCCUCCCCUGAACCCUCCACUCAGGAGCACCCUCCUCUGUGCACCUGUGUUUGCACAGCUCUAAAAAGCUGCUGACAAAGCCUCGUCAUUCUCCACGUGUGUGUCUCUGAGUUCCGCGAGGGCCCACGUGCCCAUUGGGCUCAUGGUGCUCUGGGAGCUUCUCUUGAAGGAAUGAAUUGAAUUUUGCUUUGGUUCGAGCAAGUAGAAAAUUGAAGAUGACCGGGACUUACGACUUCAUAAAGGCCCUUCAGGCCUGACCCUGAAGACAGGGAAGAGAAAGCUCUUGACAGUGGAGGCCUUUCUGUUUUUAUUAAAGAGAGGAUGGGAUGGGAGAGGAGAAAAAAGUGUUUCCAGGAAAGUUUUUUUAAAAAAAUCCUUUCGUUCUUUAUAUCACCGUUGCUUUCAUAGUCUUAGCAAAUAAAUAUUCACCAAGUACCCACCAUGGGCCAGGGACUGUGGAAGGUGCUGUAAGUACAUUGAGGAACAUGACAGUCCAGACCUCCUGGCCAUGCAUGAUAGUCCUUUGUCCUGUCCUGCACACAGAUAUAUUGUGUCCUCAUAUAAUCUGGUCCCAUUUAAGGCAUAUUUCUCCAGAUUUAGGUAAAGCAAAGUGCGACAUGACAGAGACUUUCAUUGGGUCCUUGGAACCUGCAACAGUCUCUUGAUGACACCAGCCCAAAGGGUCAACUAUCUUGAAUGUGUCAUGGUUUGAUAGGUGUUAAUUCAUCCGCGAGAUUCUCCUCCAAACUAGAAGUGGAAUAAGAAAUAAUCACUUCAUCUUUGGAAACCGUCAAAGCUCUAGGAUGAACGUGAACACUGAAAUAAUUGUAGGACGCCUGUUCCUAUUACCUGGUAGCUGUCUGUUCGCAGCGUGGCAUCCUGGGUUUGUGCCCUUUGGAGAUUCAGGGCGUUCUUUAGUGAUUAGGACUCAUUAUGUUUGUGAUAGCUAUUCACGCACGUUUUUCAAAAUGGAUGUGUGCUUGAAUUAGGCUGGAUUGAGUUUCCUUUUUCUUUCCAGGUGAGCCUAAAACUCCAAGGGGGGGCGGUGGGAGUGGGGAACCCACAAGAGAGUAGGAACAUCAGAUGAUUCCCCAGUUCCCUCUAUUUGUUUCUAAGUAAUGCUUUUCACCGCAGAGAGUACAUGACUACAUAUGUGCGGGCCCUGCUUGUUGCGAGCCCCGAACAAAGAAUCGUGCUUCAGAUUUCAAUGCGUUUGGACCAUAAUGUGCUGCUUUCUGGAUAAUGGGCUCUUGGCAUUGAAAUGAAAAGCAAACAUAUCAUUAGGAAGGCGCUCCGUGAAAACUGUCUGUCAUAUAUCUUAAGCUUCAUUAGUUUAGAUUAAUGACUUACUUGAUAUACAUGACGGUAGGUGAAGCAAAUCUUUGUUUAUUUAUUGACAAUUAAAUGUGGUGGUGACAUGCAUAAACAGGCUUCCCUCUGAUUAGUACCAUGUUUUAAAGUAACUUUGUGUUAUAAAACUUGUUAACUACAGUAUCAUUUUAUUGAGCACUGCUGGGUGAAUGAUGUGAUUGUCAUUGAAAGGCAUCAAUAUUGCAGCCAUUCCUGGCAGUCACUGGAGCAUUGUGCUCACAGAUUGGAGUUGAUAUCUCAUUGUACACAUUCAGGGACCCAGAAAAUGCCCAGUUAUUGAGCCUCUGCCCUGGGAGGACAAUGUUCUAUUCAUGGAAUCUGGGUGCAAGGUCACAGACAGAAAUCUGAAGGAAGGAUGAGAUUCACAUUUGCUUCGGGGUUUUGCCGAGGACCUCCCUGAAAUUCAGUGUCUGGAAGGCAUGGCGCUUCCCCCAGAGCAUCCUACUACAGAAUGAUACUUCAUAACGCAAUGCAAAGGAGGCUAUAAAUAAAUACAGCCCGUUCCAAUUAGAAAGCUUCUCUAGGACUAAGCAAGCUUCUCUGAAGAAGAUGCCGAUGCGUCUGAUAUUACACGGCUUCAGAUGACAUAAGCAAGCUUCCAAGAACACCUCUCUAGCAGACGUACCAUUUUGGGGUGAGGAAUGAUGAGAAAAAGGGGAGAAGGGCAAUGUGGCAUAAAAUGUAUCUGCAUGCUAGUCUCACUGAAACAUUUGUGGUUUGCCUUUCCACGCAUUCCAGAGUUGGAGGCUGUCAGGGAUAAUCAGCCGUUCCCAUCACGGACACCCCAUGGUUCUCCUUAAUAGCUCUCUUUUAUGUGCCAUCAGUCCUCAAAAAUAUAUUUAGAAAAGAUUUAUUUAGAAAGAGGCAUAAAAUACAAUCCAUGUUGCGGUUGAGUAUUACAAAUGAUUUCUGGACUCCAUUCUGUGCCGUCAGGCUCUGUAGAAUUUUCAUAUAAAGUAGAAAAUAAACUCUCAGCCAGCUUGAAAGAGAACUCCUUUGACAAAGGAAACCAGCGUAUUCUUUUUUUAUUUUUUUUGCUGUACGCGGGCCUCUCACUGCUGUGGCCUCUCCCGUUGCGGAGCACAGGCUUCGGAUGCGCAGGCCCAGCGGCCAU